CAACUAUGAGCAACGGAUCUCUUGGCUCUCGCAUCGAUGAAGAACGCAGCGAAAUGCGAUACGUAAUGUGAAUUGCAGAAUUCAGUGAAUCAUCGAAUCUUUGAACGCACCUUGCACUCCGUAGUUUACUACGGAGUACGCCCGUUCGAGUGUCA
rnacentral:rRNA from 1 species